rnacentral:rRNA from 1 species
UACGGAGGGAGCUAGCGUUGUUCGGAAUUACUGGGCGUAAAGCGCGCGUAGGCGGUUACUCAAGUCAGAGGUGAAAGCCCGGGGCUCAACCCCGGAACUGCCUUUGAAACUAGGUGACUAGAAUCUUGGAGAGGUCAGUGGAAUUCCGAGUGUAGAGGUGAAAUUCGUAGAUAUUCGGAAGAACACCAGUGGCGAAGGCGACUGACUGGCCCGAUACUGACGCUGAGGCGCGAAAGCGUGGGGAGCAAACAGG